UUCGUCUUGAACCUCUGUCUUUCGAACCAUCCUUUUAUUGCACUAAAGAAUUUGAAGUUUGGUGGUCGACCUACUACAAGUCUAUUCAGACCACCUUAGGAGUUUGUAUUGGAAAGAUGACUGAAGCUCUUCAAUCUGUGCAGAAAAAGGCUACAAAGAAAACUCGAGCCGAACCAAUACCCAAGGUUCCAUGUAAGGAAGACGAAGGUUCCGACAAUUCAACAGGCAUUCCAGUUCAACAAAAGAACGUCCCUAAGGCUCGAAAGAGAGGUUCUCAAAGCUCGACUUCGGAUGCUCGAAAGAAAAUAAGAAUUUCAUCCGAAAAGGACGACUCAGAAAGAACUUUGGUAAUCUUAUCUUCUAUCCUUCUCAUUGCAAUUUUCUUUUUUUUUUUU